rnacentral:rRNA from 1 species
ACGGAGGAUUCAAGCGUUAUCCGGAUUUAUUGGGUUUAAAGGGUGCGUAGGCGGUUUGAUAAGUUAGAGGUGAAAUUUCGGGGCUCAACCCUGAACGUGCCUCUAAUACUGUUGAGCUAGAGAGUAGUUGCGGUAGGCGGAAUGUAUGGUGUAGCGGUGAAAUGCUUAGAGAUCAUACAGAACACCGAUUGCGAAGGCAGUUUACCAAACUAUAUCUGACGUUGAGGCACGAAAGCGUGGGGAGCAAACAG